CCACAUCAAAUCAAUUCUAACUUUAGAGGUAUUCUAUAUACCAUAUCCUAGCUUAGAAACCAAAUCCAUCUAACCAAAAACUUAGCUAAUACCGUCUGACUCUCCCCUCUACUGAUUUCAUUUAGUACAAAUAUAAAAAAGUGUAGGCUUUACCUUGGUGGAAGUAUCGAUCAAAAGACACGUAGACUCUUACUCAAGCAAGUUUCUGAACACACAUGUAGUCUUUUCUAGUUCAGUUUCUCUCUCUCUUCUCACUUCUCUCAGUCAAUGUCUCCCUUCUUUAAUGGGUAUCAUUUUAUUUUUUCAAUUAACUGAGAUAUUUGGACAUGUUUCUAUGAAUCAAACUCUAAUGGUUGUAGCCAUCAGAUUAUGUUUACUUCUUUUUCUUUUUGACCUUUAUCUCUUUUUAUAUUUUUUAUGAAUCAAACUUUAAUAGUUGUAGCCACCAAGUCAUGUUCUAAUUUUUUUUUUUAAUGAAGGGGAGAGAGAGGGGAACUAGCUACACACUGACUUUUACUUUCCAGACUUGCAGGAGGAAUCCGAUCUAAUGUAUAUGAGAUUUGUAGAGUUCUCUUCUCUGGUUGAAUGUGUGUGUGUAUAAACUCCAAUGGAGAAAGAUGAGAGCUUGCUCUAGGUGAUUUAGAAAGAGAGAUUGAUGAGAGUGUUUAUGAGAGAAUAAGAGACUUAUGAACAAAGAUUAAGAUACUGAGAGAUUGGGAGAAUAAGAGAUUAGAGAUUAGGGUUUCAGAUUCAAGAACAAGUUUAUCAUUCAUGAAGUGGAGAGGGAAAAUCCCCCUUACUCCCUUGGGAGAUAUAAAUCGCCAUUACAUGGCUUAUAUAUGCUCUUACAAGAUGCAAAUCAUAAACCUAAAUCUAAUGGUUGAUCUUGCUUGAGAAUAUGGACGCCUAGGAUGUAGUCUUGGACUGGUCAAUGUAAUCUGAGUGAUGUCUCCUUAUUUGCUGAAGAUACAGCUCGGACAGGCUGGCUUGAAUGGAUGGGAUCGCUUCAGUUUGAACCAAGGGACAUGAUGGAUUCUUGUGUGGAUAGGGCUGUAAAGUGAAAGUGCCUUUCCCUUUCCAGCCUGUCUUGGACCACACAGAUCCUAUGGCA
rnacentral:lncRNA from 1 species